rnacentral:rRNA from 1 species
CCUACGGGAGGCAGCAGUAAGGAAUAUUGGUCAAUGGACGCAAGUCUGAACCAGCCAUGCCGCGUGAAGGAUUAAGGCCCUCUGGGUUGUAAACUUCUUUUAUAGGGGACGAAAAAAGGGCAUUCUUGCUCACUUGACGGUACCCUAGGAAUAAGCACCGGCUAACUCCGUGCCAGCAGCCGCGGUAAUACGGAGGGUGCAAGCGUUAUCCGGAUUUACUGGGUUUAAAGGGUGCGUAGGUGGGUUGGUAAGUCAGUGGUGAAAUCUUCGAGCUUAACUCGGAAACUGCCAUUGAUACUAUCAAUCUUGAAUCAUCUAGAGGUAAGCGGAAUAUGUCAUGUAGCGGUGAAAUGCUUAGAUAUGACAUAGAACACCAAUUGCGAAGGCAGCUUACUAUGGAUGUAUUGACACUGAGGCACGAAAGCGUGGGGGAUCAAACAGGAUUAGAUACCCUGGUAGUCCACGCCCUAAACGAUGGAUACUCGACAUUUGUGAUAUACUAUAAGUGUCUGNGNGAGNAUAUAUCCACCNGGAGACGACCGCGAGUAGUAACGUAAAGAAGUAGACGNGNGAGAGAGACGACGACGACGACGAGGGAGGAGG